rnacentral:rRNA from 1 species
UGGCAGUCAGAGGCGAUGAAGGACGUGCUAAUCUGCGAUAAGCGUCGGUAAGGUGAUAUGAACCGUUAUAACCGGCGAUUUCCGAAUGGGGAAACCCAGUGUGAUUCGUCACACUAUCAUUAACUGAAUCCAUAGGUUAAUGAGGCGAACCGGGGGAACUGAAACAUCUAAGUACCCCGAGGAAAAGAAAUCAACCGAGAUUCCCCCAGUAGCGGCGAGCGAACGGGGAGCAGCCCAGAGCCUGAAUCAGUGUGUGUGUUAGUGGAAGCGUCUGGAAAGGCGUGCGAUACAGGGUGACAGCCCCGUACACAAAAAUGCACAUACUGUGAGCUCGAUGAGUAGGGCGGGACACGUGGUAUCCUGUCUGAAUAUGGGGGGACCAUCCUCCAAGGCUAAAUACUCCUGACUGACCGAUAGUGAACCAGUACCGUGAGGGAAAGGCGAAAAGAACCCCGGCGAGGGGAGUGAAAAAGAACCUGAAACCGUGUACGUACAAGCAGUGGGAGCACGCUUAGGCGUGUGACUGCGUACCUUUUGUAUAAUGGGUCAGCGACUUAUAUUCUGUAGCAAGGUUAACCGAAUAGGGGAGCCGAAGGGAAACCGAGUCUUAACUGGGCGUUAAGUUGCAGGGUAUAGACCCGAAACCCGGUGAUCUAGCCAUGGGCAGGUUGAAGGUUGGGUAACACUAACUGGAGGACCGAACCGACUAAUGUUGAAAAAUUAGCGGAUGACUUGUGGCUGGGGGUGAAAGGCCAAUCAAACCGGGAGAUAGCUGGUUCUCCCCGAAAGCUAUUUAGGUAGCGCCUCGUGAAUUCAUCUCCGGGGGUAGAGCACUGUUUCGGCAAGGGGGUCAUCCCGACUUACCAACCCGAUGCAAACUGCGAAUACCGGAGA